rnacentral:rRNA from 1 species
ACUCCUACGGGAGGCAGCAGUAGGGAAUCUUCCACAAUGGGCGCAAGCCUGAUGGAGCAACACCGCGUGAGUGAAGAAGGGUUUCGGCUCGUAAAGCUCUGUUGUUAAAGAAGAACACGUAUGAGAGUAACUGUUCAUACGUUGACGGUAUUUAACCAGAAAGUCACGGCUAACUACGUGCCAGCAGCCGCGGUAAUACGUAGGUGGCAAGCGUUAUCCGGAUUUAUUGGGCGUAAAGAGAGUGCAGGCGGUUUUCUAAGUCUGAUGUGAAAGCCUUCGGCUUAACCGGAGAAGUGCAUCGGAAACUGGAUAACUUGAGUGCAGAAGAGGGUAGUGGAACUCCAUGUGUAGCGGUGGAAUGCGUAGAUAUAUGGAAGAACACCAGUGGCGAAGGCGGCUACCUGGUCCGCAACUGACGCUGAGACUCGAAAGCAUGGGUAGCGAACAGGAUUAGAUACCCUGGUAGGAAAGCG